rnacentral:lncRNA from 1 species
GUUUUAUUGCCAUUAAAUUCACAUAAUAUGCAUCUUACAUGUAAGAAUGUUAUAUUCCAGUGGGAGGAAAUAUAAAAUACUUAAAAUAUUAUGCGGAUUAUUAAAGUCUCGCGUGGUAAUGUAAAUUUAUGCAUGUCUAGGAAAAUUCUAUCAAAAAGACAAUAAGAGUCUAAGAAAACAAGGUACUUAAGUGGAACCAUCCUAUCCCUACCUCUUUCUUGAGAAUUUUCCUGAUGAUUAUUCAUGUCCCUUAAAACUAAAAUAAGCAUUCUAUUAUUGAAAUACUAAAAAGAUUAAAUAAUAAUUAAGAUUUUUGCGCUAAAGGACUAAAUGAUGAUAAUUUAAUUAUUCCCGACCUCUGGCUUUUCCUUUCUCUUUCUUUCAAAUGGUGAAAAUAAUAAUAGAGCAUGACAGCUCACUACUUUCAUUUGUUAAAAAGUGCUGCCUGAAUUCCUUCCUUUGCUAGCUGGAACUAUUGGCUUGAAGUAAUGAGUUCUUGUUAAAAGCACAAAUUUUACUUUAUUUGAUGAUUAUAAAGCAUCGGUCAGUUGUGAAUACUCAUCCAAGGCAGGACCGGCCUCAGAAUUUGGUGAAAUAGAAGAGCUUCUAAUGAGAUUGUAUAAUCAAGUCAAUGUAUACUGAAUUUUACAUGUGGAUAAAUUGAAGAGUUAGAAUGAAAUGUUACAACCCCUAGGACGUGUUUGGUAGCCCACAUUACAUGAGAUAAAAAUACUGUUUUGUAUUACAUUUAUGCAGAUCCAUGUUUGGCAAUAAAAAUAACUGCAACAUUACUACAUUAAUGGGCUAGGCUAAUGCGGCAAGUGCCGAAUUAGCUUGCUUCUUCUUCUUUUUC